AGAGUUUGAUCCUGGCUCAGGACGAACGCUGACGGUGUGCUUUAGGCAUGCAAGUCGAACGAGAAAACCCUUCGGGGUAAGUAAAGUGGCGAACGGGUGAGUAACACGUGGGCAACCUGCCCCUCGCAGGGGGACAACCGGAGGAAACUCCGGCUAAUACCCCGUAAGCUCUACUCGCCGCAUGGCGAGUAGAGGAAAGGUAGCUUCGGCCAUCCGGCGAGGGAUGGGCCCGCGGUGCAUUAGCUAGUUGGUGGGGUAACGGCCCACCAAGGCGACGAUGCGUAGCUGGUCUGAGAGGAUGAUCAGCCACACUGGGACUGAGACACGGCCCAGACUCCUACGGGAGGCAGCAGCCAGGAAUCUUGGGCAAUGGGCGAAAGCCUGACCCAGCAACACCGUGUGGGUGAUGAAGGCCUUCGGGUCGUAAAGCCCUGUUGAUAGGGACGAAGGGCGAAGGGUUAAUAGCCCGGAGCUUGACGGUACCUUUCGAGGAAGCCCCGGCUAACUACGUGCCAGCAGCCGCGGUAAUACGUAGGGGGCGAGCGUUGUCCGGAAUUAUUGGGCGUAAAGAGCGUGUAGGCGGUUCGGUAAGUCUGUCGUGAAAUCCUGGGGCUCAACCCUGGGCGUGCGAUGGAUACUGCCGGGCUAGAGGGUGGUAGAGGCGAGUGGAAUUCCCGGUGUAGCGGUGAAAUGCGCAGAUAUCGGGAGGAACACCAGUAGCGAAGGCGGCUCGCUGGGCCACACCUGACGCUGAGACGCGAAAGCUAGGGGAGCGAACAGGAUUAGAUACCCUAGUAGUCC
rnacentral:rRNA from 1 species